UACGAAGGGGGCUAGCGUUGCUCGGAAUGACUGGGCGUAAAGGGCGCGUAGGCGGUUCGUACAGUCAGACGUGAAAUUCCCGGGCUCAACCUGGGGGCUGCGUUUGAUACGUGCGGGCUUGAGUUCGGAAGAGGGUCGUGGAAUUCCCAGUGUAGAGGUGAAAUUCGUAGAUAUUGGGAAGAACACCGGUGGCGAAGGCGGCGACCUGGUCCGAUACUGACGCUGAGGCGCGACAGCGUGGGGAGCAAACAGG
rnacentral:rRNA from 1 species